AACGCUGGCGGCAGGCCUAACACAUGCAAGUCGAGCGGAAACGAGUUAUCUGAACCUUCGGGGAACGAUAACGGCGUCGAGCGGCGGACGGGUGAGUAAUGCCUAGGAAAUUGCCCUGAUGUGGGGGAUAACCAUUGGAAACGAUGGCUAAUACCGCAUGAUGCCUACGGGCCAAAGAGGGGGACCUUCGGGCCUCUCGCGUCAGGAUAUGCCUAGGUGGGAUUAGCUAGUUGGUGAGGUAAGGGCUCACCAAGGCGACGAUCCCUAGCUGGUCUGAGAGGAUGAUCAGCCACACUGGAACUGAGACACGGUCCAGACUCCUACGGGAGGCAGCAGUGGGGAAUAUUGCACAAUGGGCGCAAGCCUGAUGCAGCCAUGCCGCGUGUAUGAAGAAGGCCUUCGGGUUGUAAAGUACUUUCAGUCGUGAGG
rnacentral:rRNA from 1 species